rnacentral:rRNA from 1 species
GACAGAGGGUGCAAACGUUGUUCGGAAUUACUGGGCGUAAAGCGAGUGUAGGCGGUUCGCUAAGUCGGGUGUGAAAGCCCCGGGCUCAACCCGGGAAGUGCACUCGAAACUGGCGGGCUAGAGUAUCGGAGAGGUUGGUGGAAUUCUCGGUGUAGAGGUGAAAUUCGUAGAUAUCGAGAGGAACACCGGUGGCGAAGGCGGCCAACUGGACGAAUACUGACGCUGAGACUCGAAAGCGUGGGGAGCAAACAGG